UAUGUCUGGUAGUGGCAUACUGCUCAGUAACACGUAGCUAACCUACCCUAAGGACGGAGAAAACCCCGGGAAACUGGGGUUAAUCUCCGAUAGGUGUGAUGUCCUGGAAUGGUAUCACGCCCAAAGGUGCUAACAGCAUGUUGUUAUCAUGCCUUAGGAUGGGGCUGCGGCUGAUCAGGCAGUUGGUGAGGUAACGGCUCACCAAACCUUUGACCAGUACGGGCCAUGAGAGUGGUAGCCCGGAGAUGGGCACUGAGACAAGGGCCCAGGCCCUAAGGGGCGCAGCAGGCGCGAAACCUCCUCAAUGCACUCACGUGCGAAGGGGUUAUCUCGAGUGCUAUCUGAUAAAGGUGGCUUUUACUUCGUUUAACAAGCUAAGUGAAUAAGAGGGGGGCAAGACUGGUGUCAGCCGCCGCGGUAACACCAGCCCCUCGAGUGGUGGGGAUGAUUAUUUGGCCUAAAGCGUCCGUAGCCGGCCCUGUAAGUCCCCCGUUAAAUCCAGCGUCCUAAGCGUUGGACUGCGGGAGAUACUGCAAGGCUAGAGGGUGGGAGAGGUAAGCGGUAUUCUGGGGGUAGGGGCGAAAUCCUUUGAUCCCCGGAGGACCACCAGUGGCGAAGGCUGCUUACUAGAACACGCCUGACGGUCAGGGACGAAAGCUGGGGUAGCGAACCGGAUUAGAUACCCGGGUAGUCCCAGCUGUAAACUAUGCAAACUCAGUGAUGCAUUGGCUUGUGGCCAAUGCAGUGCUGCAGGGAAGCCGUUAAGUUUGCCGCCUGGGAAGUACGUACGCAAGUAUGAAACUUAAAGGAAUUGGCGGGGGAGCACCACAAGGGGUGAAGCCUGCGGUUCAAUUGG
rnacentral:rRNA from 1 species